AGUGAACGCUGGCGGUAGGCCUAACACAUGCAAGUCGAACGGCAGCACAGUAAGAUCUUGCUCUUACGGGUGGCGAGUGGCGGACGGGUGAGGAAUACAUCGGAAUCUACUUUUUCGUGGGGGAUAACGUAGAGAAACUUACGCUAAUACCGCAUACGACCUACGGGUGAAAGCAGGGGAUCUUCGCACCUUUCGCGACUGAAUGAGCCGAUGUCGGAUUAGCUAGUUGGCGGGGUAAAGGCCCACCAAGGCGACGAUCCGUAGCUGGUCUGAGAGGAUGAUCAGCCACACUGGAACUGAGACACGGUCCAGACUCCUACGGGAGGCAGCAGUGGGGAAUAUUGGACAAUGGGCGCAAGCCUGAUCCAGCCAUACCGCGUGGGUGAAGAAGGCCUUCGGGUUGUAAAGCCCUUUUGUUGGGAAAGAAAAGCAGCAGGUUAAUACCCCGCUGUUCUGACGGUACCCAAAGAAUAAGCACCGGCUAACUUCGUG
rnacentral:rRNA from 1 species